UUUCUUCGGAAAAAAAUUCGAAAUCUUCCAACUGUGGAAAGUGAGACUCUUGCAGGUAAUCAAAGUUUCAACCAGCAAUAAACGCACCUCGGCAGAGCCUCAUUGGUCACGUUAUCGCCUCUGCGCAAAGCU